rnacentral:lncRNA from 1 species
CUAAAUUCAGAAGACUUCAAGAAUAAUGUCUUUUUUUUUUUAACCAUAAGUUUCUUUAGAAAUGUAAUAGGUUUUUUAUGCAGCAUUCGACACAGAAAAGUCUUCCUAAAAAUUAGCAAUCUUCCUUUCUCUGUGGUUUCCAAUUCAUGGUCACUGCUGAAAAUUGCUCCUCUCUCUGGUAAGCUUUCACUGCAGCGCUGUCCCCAGUCCUGCCCUUCAGCUUCUCCUGCAUUGUGAUCUCAUAUCACUGUCCUCUUCUCUGAAGCCUCUAUUCCCUGUAAGGACCCUCUCCUUGAGUGCAGCUCCCUAGGAAGUAGGAGGCGUGUGCCUCUACCUGUCCCCAUGGUGCAGGCCUGUCCUCGACCCCAUCACUAGGCUGGCUCCCCAGGCAGUUAGAACUGGCCCGCAGAGCGCGCAUUUACAUUUGGGACCUGAAGUUCCUGUUUUGUUUCUCUUUAGUGAUUAUCUAUGUGACCAUCAAGUGGAGAAAGAUAUCACUGGUGUCAGCUAAGAAGUGGAGAGCUAAUGCAUUAAGCUUCAUUCUGCAGCCAGUUGAGGGGGACGGCAAGCCCAAGGAAUAAAGAAUGCAGUGGGGGCGCUAAAGAAGAAGCGGAAGUCUGCUAAGUCAUUGGCACUUGCUUCAGAGAAAGAGAGCUCGAGAUGCCAGACUGGGCCCUAGAGGGAGAAGGGCCUGUGUUUGAUUUUUGGAUGACAAGUGUGACCAAGACUAGCUGUAUAACUUCCAGGACCCAGAGCAAUAUCAAUGCAGGGCCCCCUUUUUAAAAAUUAAGCAUUUCAAGACAGCAACAACAAAGCAUGAAACCAAGCAUGGGACCCUGCAGGGUGUGGGGCCCUGUGUGACUCAGCAAGUCGCACACCCACAAAGACUGUCCUGAGGGUGGCUAAGGUGACCCUCACAUGUGCUCUCACUGUGGCACGUCCCCUGCUGUGCCACGGCAUGCACUGUGGCACUUCACGUACUGUGUUUUGAUAGCAGCAGUUCUCGUCUGUAAGCUUGAUGAGGAGGAACCAGCAAGGAUGUGCCAGUAAGGAAGCUAGCACUAGAGUGUAGAGAGGGAGGGAGUCUGACGGAGGUCGCUCGGCCUCACCACCACGCGCUCUCCUCUCCUGCAGCUCCAGCCGUGAGUUGGGACAAGCGACGGAGGUUCUCCUAUGUACAGGAAGUCUUGUUUAAACUCCCAGGACUUUAGUUUCCUUCAGAUUCCAGCAAAUAUUUUAAUCAUAAGUUCUAAUAAAAGGAUACUGACUCUAAGGCUGGGGGGAAGA